ensembl:lncRNA
CUGAAAUAUUUUAUUAUUUCAUAGUAAUUUUCAUUGUAAUGUUUCAUGAACUGAAAUAAAAGAGGCCAGAAAUGUUCCAUUCGCGCAAAAAGCAUAUUUAUUUAAACUUUUUGAACCAAUUUGUUUAUAUUCCUGUUAGUGAGCAUUUCUCCUUACCAAGAUAAUCCAUUUACCUGGCAGGUGUGGCAUAUCAAUGUUGAUUAAACAGUAUAGUCAUUACACAGGUGCACCUGAUGCAGUUCUGUCACACAACACAAUAGCACAGAUGUCUCAAGUUUUGAGGGAGCGUGAAAUUGGCAUGCUGACUGCAGGAAUGUCCACCAGAGCUGUUGCCAGAGAAUUUAAUGUUAAUUUCUCUACCAUAAGCUGCCUCCAAUGUUGUUUUAUAGAAUUUGGCAGUACGUCCAACCGGCCUCACAACAGCAAACCACGUGUAACCACUUCAGCCCAGGACCACCACAUCCAGAUACAUUUUGAAUUUGGCGUUUACCAUCAUAUCCCAUAGAAACACUGAAACACAUAUUGAAUAACAUACAGUAUUAAUAGUUGGCAAAAAGACAGUCAAAAAACUAAUAACGAGGAAUAAAGUUUUGAAGUGUCUGUCCUAUAUCCAGACCCCAUGACUUUUUCCACAGUUUGUUACAUUACAGCCUUAUUCUAAACUCGAUUAAUUACUGAUUCCCCUCCUCAAUCUACAUACAAUACCCCAUAAUGACAACGCAAAAACAGGUUUUUAGAAAUGUUUGCAUAUAUAUAUAUAUAUAUAUAUAUAUAUAUAUUAUGUAUUUAUAUAAGUAUUCAGAACCUUUGCUAUGAGACUCGAAAUUGAGCUCAGGACAGGUGCAUCCUGAUUCCAUUGAUCAUCCCUGAGAUGUUUCUAUAACUUGAUUGAUAAAUUCAAUUGAUUGGACUUGAUUUGGAAAGGCACACACCUGUCUACAUACAAUUGAAGUCUGAAGAUAACAUACACUUAGGUUGGAGUCAAUAAAACUCAUUUUUCAACCACUCAAACUCAAACACACAAACUUCUUGUUUAACAAACUAUAGUUUUGGCAAGUCGGUUAGGACAUCUACUUUG